GAAUGAAGUAGAAGAGAAAGAAGAUGAAGAGAGUGAAGACGAAGAGAAUGAAGAUGAAGGAGAGAGUAGCCGAACCUUGCGUGAUUCCAUUGAAGAGAGAUCCGAAGAGAUAUCAAACGAAAAUCGCGUGGAGAUGGAUACAAUGAGGGAGAACGUGUUCAUAUAUUUCAAAUGCCAAGGUCGCAUGUAUAGCUUGAUGAUGAAGACAUCAUGGGAGAAGAUAACUCUCUCCAUGUUAGAAGCUUACUCAAAAUCGAAUGUUCGAAAUGACUGGAGAAGAUGCUACGUCCGUAGAGCCAUUUGGGAGAAAAUUUCGACUUUUUAAUUUAUUCCACAUGGUCUUCUACUUCUUAUCUAGCAUUGUUAUUGGGCACACACAGAUUGGAGAAGAUGCUACGUCCAUGGAGUCAUAUUUUCUGAGAGCAUUGUAUGAUAUGAACUAUUUUGGGUUGUAAUGUUUCUAAUCUGUGUUCAUUGUUUACAUCCCACAUGAAAUUGAUAGUAUCAUGGUAGCUGGAGGUGAAGAAGAAUAUACCUUCUUUAUU